AAACUGGUUACCUAGAGUAUGGGAGGGGGAGAUGGAAUUAGUGGUGUAGGGGUAAAAUCCGUAGAUAUCACUAGGAAUACCGAAAGCGAAGGCGAUCUCCAGGAACAAUACUGACGCUAAGGCGUGAAAGCGUGGGGAGCAAACGGGAUUAGAUACCCCGGUAGUCCACGCCCUAAACGAUGUUCACUAGUCGUCGGAAUGCUAGUCAUUUCGGUGAUGCACUUAACAGAUUAAGUGAACCGCCUGGGGAGUACGGUCGCAAGAUUAAAACUCAAAGGAAUAGACGGGGACCCGCACAAGUGGUGGAGCAUGUGGUUUAAUUCGAAGAUACGCGAAGAACCUUACCUAGCCUUGACAUUGAUUGAAUACUUUAGAGAUAGAGUAGUGCCCUUCGGGGAACAUGAGAACAGGUGCUGCACGGCUGUCGUCAGCUCGUGUCGUGAGAUGUUGGGUUAAGUCCCGCAACGAGCGCAACCCUCGUCCUUAGUUGCCAGCAGGUUAAGCUGGGCACUUUAAGGAGACUGCCUUCGCAAGGAGGAGGAAGGUGAGGACGACGUCAAGUCAUCAUGGCCCUUAUGGCUAGGGCUACACACGUGCUACAAUGGGGCGUACAGAGAGUUGCGAUACCGCGAGGUGGAGCCAAUCUCAUAAAGCGUCUCUCAGUUCGGAUUGAAGUCUGCAACUCGACUUCAUGA
rnacentral:rRNA from 1 species